rnacentral:lncRNA from 1 species
CCGGAAGCAUUAACAGCAUAGGUGAACCAAACAGAAAAUAGGAAACCACUGGUUACCUACUAAGUCGAAGACGGAAGGAGUCACAACCGUUGGUGAGCUGCUCAAAAACCACGUUGCCGUGAGUUGACUUGUUCACCGAGUCGUGUAGCUCCGGCCUUCAAGCGUAAUCCGGCACAAAGAGUAUAGCGUGGGGAUUCAACUGGCAGAUGG